GCCAGCCUCAGACACUUCUCGAGGUCCUGAAGCAGCACCUGAGCUGCCCCUGGCCAGCGUGGCUUGCUGGUGUGAAGGAUGAUCCAGAACUCAUGUGCUCUCCUUCUGGUCAUGGCAGGUGCGGUUCUUGGAGCAGCAGAACCAGGUGUUACAGACCAAAUGGGAGCUGCUACAACAAAUGAAUGUUGGCACCCGCCCCAUCAACCUGGAGCCCAUCUUCCAGGGGUAUAUCGACAACCUCAAGAGAUAUCUGGAUGGGCUCACUGCAGAAAGAACAUCACAGAAUUCAGAGCUGAACAACAUGCAGGAUCUUGUGGAGGAUUAUAAGAAGAAGUAUGAAGAUGAAAUCAAUAAGCGCACAGCUGCUGAGAAUGAUUUUGUGACACUUAAAAAGGACGUGGACAAUGCCUACAUGAUAAAGGUGGAGCUGCAGUCCAAGGUGGACCUGCUGAACCAGGAUCUUGAGUUCCUGAAAGUUCUCUAUGAUGCGGAGAUAUCCCAGAUUCAUCAGAGUGUCACUGACACCAACGUCAUCCUCUCCAUGGACAACAGCCGCAACCUGGACCUGGAUAGCAUCAUCGCCGAGGUCAAGGCCCAGUAUGAGGAGAUCGCCCAGAGGA
rnacentral:sRNA from 1 species